rnacentral:rRNA from 1 species
GACGAACGCUGGCGGCGUGCCUAAUACAUGCAAGUAGAACGCUGAAGCGAGGAGCUUGCUCUUCUUGGGUGAGUUGCGCACGGGUGAGUAACGCGUAGGUAACCUGCCUUGUAGCGGGGGAUAACUAUUGGAAACGAUAGCUAAUACCGCAUAACAAUGGAUGACACAUGUCAUUUAUUUGAAAGGGGCAAUUGCUCCACUACAAGAUGGACCUGCGUUGUAUUAGCUAGUAGGUGAGGUAAUGGCUCACCUAGGCGACGAUACAUAGCCGACCGGAGAGGGUGAGCAGCCAGACUGAGACGGAGACCCGCCACAGAGGCCUACGGGAGGCAGCAGGAGGGAAUCUUGGGCAAGGGGGGCAACCCUGUCCGAGCUACGCCGCGUGAGGGAAGAAGGUUUUCGGGUCGGAAAGCUCUGUUGUAAGUCAAGAACGGGUGUGAGAGUGGAAAGUUCACACUGUGACGGUAGCUGACCAGAAAGGGACGGCUAACUACGUG